GACCCCAUAGUUCAACUGGAUAGAACAAGACACUCCUAACGUCUAGAUCUACGUUCAAGUCGUGGUGGGGUCA
rnacentral:tRNA from 1 species